AGAGUUUGAUCCUGGCUCAGGAUGAACGCUAGCGGCAGGCUUAAUACAUGCAAGUCGAGGGGCAGCAUGGUUGUAGCAAUACAACUGAUGGCGACCGGCAAACGGGUGCGGAACACGUACGCAAUCUACCCAAAACUGGUGAAUAGCCCUCCGAAAGGAGGAUUAAUACACCGUAACUUAAGGAAGUGGCAUCACUGUCUUAAUAUAGCUCCGGCGGUUUUGGAUGAGCGUGCGCCUGAUUAGGUAGUUGGCGGGGUAACGGCCCACCAAGCCUGCGAUCAGUAACUGGUGUGAGAGCACGACCAGUCACACGGGCACUGAGACACGGGCCCGACUCCUACGGGAGGCAGCAGUAAGGAAUAUUGGUCAAUGGACGCAAGUCUGAACCAGCCAUGCCGCGUGAAGGAUGAAGGUCCUCUGGAUUGUAAACUUCUUUUAUGUGGGACGAAACCUCUUAUUCUUAAGAGACUGACGGUACCAUAGGAAUAAGCACCGGCUAACUCCGUGCCAGCAGCCGCGGUAAUACGGAGGGUGCAAGCGUUAUCCGGAUUCACUGGGUUUAAAGGGAGCGUAGGAGGGCAGGUAAGUCAGUGGUGAAAUCUUCGAGCUUAACUCGGAACUGCCGUUGAUACUAUCUGUCUUGAAUACCGUGGAGAUGAGCGGAAUAUCAUGUAGCGGUGAAAUGCUUAGAUAUGACAUAGAACACCAAUUGCGAAGGCAGCUCGUUACACGAAUAUUGACUCUGAGGCUCGAAAGCGUGGGGAUCAAACAGGAUUAGAUACCCUAGUAGUCC
rnacentral:rRNA from 1 species